CCUACGGGAGGCAGCAGUGAGGAAUAUUGGUCAAUGGCCGGAAGGCUGAACCAGCCAUGCCGCGUGAAGGUCAGUGCCCUAUGGGCGUUAAACUUCUUUUGUGCGGGAGCAAUAAUGGUCACGUGUGGCCAGACGAGAGUACCGUACGAAUAAGCAUCGGCUAACUCCGUGCCAGCAGCCGCGGUAAUACGGGGGAUGCAAGCGUUAUCCGGAUUUAUUGGGUUUAAAGGGUGCGUAGGCUGUGAGGUAAGUCAGCGGUGAAAUGCCCGCGCUCAACGGGGUGAAGUGCCAUUGAUACUGCCUGGCUGGAAUGCGGAUGCCGUGGGAGGAAUGUGUGGUGUAGCGGUGAAAUGCAUAGAUAUCACACAGAACACCGAUUGCGAAGGCAUCUCACGAAUCCGCGAUUGACGCUGAUGCACGAAAGCGUGGGUAUCAAACAGGAUUAGAUACCCGAGUAGUC
rnacentral:rRNA from 1 species